rnacentral:tRNA from 1 species
UGGGGUAUGGUGUAACGGUAGCACAAACGCCUCUGGAGCGUUUUGUCUAGGUUCGAAUCCUAGUACCCCAG